rnacentral:rRNA from 1 species
UACGAAGGGGGCUAGCGUUGCUCGGAAUCACUGGGCGUAAAGCGCACGUAGGCGGAUUGUUAAGUCAGGGGUGAAAGCCUGGAGCUCAACUCCAGAACUGCCCUUGAUACUGGCAAUCUCGAGUCCGGAAGAGGUAAGUGGAACUCCGAGUGUAGAGGUGAAAUUCGUAGAUAUUCGGAAGAACACCCGUGGCGCAAGCGGCCACCUGGCUGCCAACUGACGCUGAGGCACGAGAGCGUGGGGAGCGAACCGG